CUGUUGUCAGCUGGGUUAUGGCGUCGUCCGUCGUCGUCGUCCUUGUGAAGUUGUGAAGUGAAUGAAGUUAGAAAUUUUCUAUUGAAGUGCUGUUUGAUUGAUACUUUCGCCUUGGGGCAAAUUCUGCUGUCACCCUAUGGUGAUAAUACCCUCAGCGCUAUUGCGGCUGGCUCGCCGCUGCUGUCUCGCCGCACCGUGCCUCGCCGCGCCGUGCGCCACGUCCAGACGGUCCAGCGCUUCUCCGGCGCCCUAAUGCCAUGCUCGGCACGCGCACGACAGCGAGGCGUGUGAGCGCGCGCUCCGCCGGCUGCAG